GGGCGUUUAGCUCAGCGGGAGAGCACUACCUUCACACGGUAGGGGUCACAGGUUCAAACCCUGUAACGCCCA
rnacentral:tRNA from 1 species